rnacentral:lncRNA from 1 species
CCUGUAGUCCCAGCUACUCAGGAGGCUGAGGCAGGAAAAUGGCGUGACCCUGGGAGGCAGAGCUUGCAGUAAGCCGAGAUCACGCCACUGCACUCCAGCCUGGGCGACAGAGUGAGACUCCGUCUCAAAAAAAAAAAAAUCAGUACUUCCUGGAGCCAUCAGAAUUGAGGUCAUGGGACAAGUUGCUCUCUCCAGAAUUGGAGAGACAGAAAAGCAGAUACAGAGGAUAACUUACCAAGUCAGAAACCUACUAGCAGAAGCCUUUGCAGGACCAAGCACUGAGAACACAGGACACAGACAAGGACUUACGCCAUUGGCUCCCCAGUUCUCAGGCCUCUCAACUCAGGUGAAUUACACCAGCUUCUCCAGCUUUCCAGCUUGCAGACAGCAGGUCAUGGGAUAUCUUGACCUCCAUAAUCAUGUGAG